GGGGCACCCAGCAUACGAGCACGAACGCUGAACCAUCCCAGAAAAAUCGUCGGUGCCUGUAACAACCGCGUAACAACUGGGCAUGAGCCGACAGAUGGUGUUACAGGUUUAUAAAACCCGAUCCCCAUGUGCCUUCCGCCAUAACCAGGGUUGGGAGCUAGCGCAACCUUGCAUGGAUGAUUACGCUGAAGCACAGCGAUGAGUAGGAGAGAGAGAAUAGAGCCGCUGCGACCACGCCUCGCGUUCACCAUCGCCCAGCCUCUCGAUCGCUGGGGAAUCGGGCGAGAUCACCAAGUCGUGCAGAUCGUGCGUGUGGUCAGCAGAGCAAGGAAGUUGGCGGGGGAGACGAAUUGCUUGCCGGUGCUUGGCCGAAUCCUCACCGGGAAUCCUCGGGCGGCACUACAGCGUCGACCGGCCGCAUCGACGUCUUCUCGAGUGCAGUGAGGACACGAGUUACCUGAAGAUCAUCCUGGUACCUGGAAUCUCAAGUCCCAGGCAAGUUGUGCCCUUGAUCACUUCUUUUUACCCAGUCAUGUUCUGAUUAAUCAUAAUGAUCUGCAUAUGUUAAUUUUGAUGGGACCCAAUAGGUUACCCUAGUUUGAUUAUCUUUAUACCUUGAUUACCACUGGACUUUUUGGGUAGUACCUGCUAUUGCUUUAUGUGGUUUUGGGUAUGAAGAUUACAUUAUUCAUGAUUACACUUUUGUUAUUAGUUGUUAUUUACUAUUCAUGAUAAGAUCAUUAUGUUAAUUGGAACAUGGAGAACCACCCGGGAAAACAGUGCUACCACAAGGGUUUAUGGACGCCCUUGGCUGAUUAACUAGGAAAGCUAGUGGAGGUCUUCCUUACCCGAAAGGGGCAAGGGCAGUAGGGGAGUGGUCAGUGUAGGGAGGUCCUUGGUUGAUUUUGCUGCGAUGGCGGUCAGGCAAGAACCCUGCAUUGGAGCUUCCUAUAAACUGUAGCGGGAUUUCUGAAGCUAGUGGAACUUUGUAAAGGCCUCGUAGUGUUACCCUGCCUCGCCUCCUCGGUAGAGGUGUAUGGGAUUGGCCGUCUCUUGGCAGAUGGGUAACAUGACUUGUGCGUAAAGAUGUGCAACCUCUACGGAGUGUAAAACUGGUAUACUAGCCGUGCUCACGGUCAUGAGCGGCUCGGACACUCACAUGAUUAAAUUAUGGAACUUAAACUCAAUUUGUCAUAUGCAUUGCAUCGCAGGUGAGGUUGUUACUUUUGUUCUACUAAAUUGGGAUGGUAUUUACUUAUACUUAGUAAUUGCUAAUAAAAUUUUGACCAACUUUAAAAGCAAUGCUCAGCUCUAACCAUCCUCUUUGGUAAGCUUACACUUCACGUGAGCUCCCACCUUUGGCGAGUUCAUGCACAUUAUUCCCCACAACUUGUUGAGCGAUGAACGUAUGUGAGCUCACUCUUGCUGUCUCACACCCCCCACAGGUCAAGAACAGGUACCACAGGAUGAGGCGCUUGGAGGAUGCUGUGACGAGUUCGUGAGAGGUCUAGGUCGUCGUCUCCCAGUCAACUUUGGGUUGCUGGACCGUUGUCUCCAUAUAAUGUAUUUAUUUAUUUAUUUUGUACAAAACUCCGAUUAUAUAGUAAAGAUGUGACAUUCGAUCCUGUGCCAUGAUUCAUCAUAUGUGUGAGACUUGGUCCCAGCACACCUGGUGAUUAUGUUCGCGCCCGGGUCUUGGUGCCCCGAAACCCGGGUGUGACAGAAGUGGUAUCAGAGGAAUGUUGACUGUAGGACGUAACCUAGAUAGAACUGGACAACCAUUGUCUACUUACCUUUGCUACUCUGAUUCUUUUCUAAACUUAUCUUAAUCUUUUCUCAUCCAUUUCCGCUUUACUCUGAUUAUUCUUACCUUUUUCUUCUAAAGACAAAUGUGGAUUUCACACUCUGAAAUCCUGUACCUAAAGUGACUUUUAGGAAUAGGAGACUUAAUCUUAGGAACAAAAAAACAAAACUAUUUUUUUAUCUAUACGCUUGAAUGUUUGUUCUUAUGAUAUUUGUCUGAUUUGGAUCUUUGAUUGAGUGUGAUGGGUUGUGGAGUAAUGUCCACAAUUACAUCUGCAUAUACAUAUAGGGAAAAAUGCUUAUAAAAAUAACUAGAUAAACUAGAUUAUCCCUCAUUAAAGGAUCUAGCCAAACAAUAUCCAUCUCAUCUUAAAAGAUUCUAUCCUACACUCGUAGAUCCAUCUUAUCUUAAGAAGAUACUCAUCUUAUCUUGAAAAGAUUUUAUGUCAUGCUAAUAGAUCUAACUGAUCUCAAAUGAUUCUAUCUUAUCUUUAUGGAUCCAUCUUAUCCUAACAAGCAUACUUACCCACCCUAGUUUAACAACCAUGAUCUAAUGCAAAUUAAUUAGAUCUUAUCUAGUCAAACUAGUCAUACCAAUCUAAUCUAGAUCCCAUCUAAUCUAAUAUGAUCUAAUCUAAUGUGGUCUAUUUAAACAGAUUAGUGAUACUGGUAGAAGAGAUUAAACCCUACUAGCCAGGUAUUAACUUAACUUCGCACAUUAGACCAACUCAACCAUGGGCAUAAGAUCUAACCUAGCCAAUAGAGUCUUGAUGGAUUGCAUAAUCUAUCUAUCUCCACCUAACCUCAAACAAACUUUUGACCUACAUCAAUCUCACCCAUAUCUAUCUUAACCAUACCCUGGUAACUCCGAUGAUAAACGCUGACCCCGACUCAAUGAGACCAAGACCAGAAAAGAACAAGAUCAACCUCGUCAAGGAAGGAGAGAAGUCAAACUCGAUCUUCAGAUGCAUUACCACCCAACAAGGAGUCCUUUCUCACCAUAAACUGUCUUACCCCUAGCUAUUGUUUCCCUAACCUAUCCAUCUCUUAUAUCCUACAUAAUAGGUGGCUAGAAACCCAUGCUUUCCUAAAUACCUAUUUAUUUGUAUAAAAAAAACUUUUCAAUAUUGAACUAAAAGACAAUUACAAACAAAACUUUCUACACCUCUUUCUUACAAAUCUCGAGGACGAGAUUUUUGUUAAGGGGGGUAGGAUUUGUAAAGCCCUAAAAUUGCGUAAGAUAAAAAAAUGAUAAAAUAAAUAAAUACAUAUAUAAAAUUGUUUUGGGAACACAGAACCUUGGGAGACUAUCAAUUUAUUUAUCAAUAGGUUAUACCCUUCAUGAACAAUAUAAAUAGAAACCAUCUUUUAAUCAAGCUAAUAGUAAUUAAUGAUAAAGUUUGGACAUUACUUCCUCUAAAAUAAGUAGUAAAUAUGCACUUUUGAAUCGACCUUUAAUUUUACAACACCUUCAAAUAAUAUUUUUCUAAAAGAAAGAUAGCGUGUGUACUUCAUAUUUGAAACAAUUGUCUAAUUAAUAAAUAAAACAAUAAAUGUAAAUAUAUAUCUACAUAUAUUUGCAUUCAUGCGGGAGUUUGAUUGUGCAUUUUUAAGUAUGUGUCAAAUCCAAAACUAAUUUUGAAUUCUAUUCGAAUUUGGAAUUGUAAGUUAAGAAAAUGAUAAAAAUAUAGAUGAAGAGAGAACAAACCGGUUUGACCCAAUCUCACUCACGUGGCCUACAUUCUCUUCUCUCUCCCCAUAACCCGUCUUGUUUCUUUCCAUUUAUAAUUCUUGUACAAACUACUGGUAACUGCCGGGGACGUAUGUUCCUUCCAUGUCAGACACCGACAUGUGGGGCACCCUGCAUACGAGCACGAACGCUGAACCAUCCCAGAAAAAUCGUCGGUGCCUGUAACAACCGCGUAACAACCGGGCAUGAGCCGACAGAUGGCGUUACAGGUUUAUAAAACCCGAUCCCCAUGUGCCUUCCGCCAUAACCAGGCUUGGGAGCUAGCGCAACCUUGCAUGGAUGAUUACGCUGAAGCACAGCGACGAGUAGGAGAGAGAGAAUAGAGCCGCUACGACCACGCCUCGCGUUCACCAUCGCCCAGCCUCUCGAUCGCUGGGGAAUCGGGCGAGAUCACCAAGUCGUGCAGAACGUGCGUGUGGUCAGCAGAGCAAGGAAGUUGGCGGGGGAGACGAAUUGCUUGCCGGUGCUUGGCCGAAUCCUCACCGGGAAUCCUCGGGCGGCACUGCAGCGUCGACCGGCCGCAUCGACGUCUUCUCGAGUGUGAGGACACGAGUUACCUGAAGAUCAUCUUGGUACCUGGAAUCUCAAGUCCCAGGCAAGUUGUGCCCUUGAUCACUUCUUUUUACCCAGUCAUGUUCUGAUUAAUCAUAAUGAUCUGCAUAGGUUAAUUUUGAUGGGACCCAAUAGGUUACCCUAGUUUGAUUAUCUUUAUACCUUGAUUACCACUGACUUUUUGGGUAGCACCUGCUAUUGCUUUAUGUGGUUUUGGGUAUGAAGAUUACAUUAUUCAUGAUUACACUUUUGUUAUUAGUUGUUAUUUACUAUUCAUGAUAAGAUCAUUAUGUUAAUUGGAACAUGGAGAACCACCCGGGAAAACAGUGCUACCACAAGUGUUUAUGGACGCCCUUGGCUGAUUAACUAGGAAAGCUAGUGGAGGUCUUCCUUACCCGAAAGGGGCAAGGGCAGUAGGGGAGUGGUCACUGUAGGGAGGUCCUUGGUUGAUUUUGCUGCGAUGGCGGUCAGGCAAGAACCCUGCAUUGGAGCUUCCUAUAAACUGUAGCGGGAUUUCUGAAGCUAGUGGAACUUUGUAAAGGCCUCGUAGUGUUACCCUGCCUCGCCUCCUCGGUAGAGGUGUAUGGGAUUGGCCGUCUCUUGGCAGAUGGGUAACAUGACUUGUGGGUAAAGAUGUGCAACCUCUGCAGAGUGUAAAACUGGUAUACUAGCCGUGCUCACGGUCAUGAGCGGCUCGGACACUCACAUGAUUAAAUUAUGGAACUUAAACUCAAUUUGUCAUAUGCAUUGCAUCGCAGGUGAGGUUGUUACUUUUGUUCUACUAAAUUGGGCUGGUAUUUACUUAUACUUAGUAAUUGCUAAUAAAAUUUUGACCAACUUUAAAAGCAAUGCUCAGCUCUAACCAUCAUCUUUGGUAAGCCUUACACUUCACGUGAGCUCCCACCUUUGGCGAGUUCAUGCACAUUAUUCCCCACAACUUGUUGAGCGAUGAACGUAUGUGAGCUCACUCUUGCUGUCUCACACCCCCCCCACAGGUCAAGAAUAGGUACCAUAGGAUGAGGCGCUUGGAGGAUGCUGUGACGAGUUCGUGAGAGGUCUAGGUCGUCGUCUCCCAGUCAACUUUGGGUUGCCGGACCGUUGUCUCCAUAUAAUGUAUUUAUUUAUUUAUUUUGUACAAAACUCCAAUUAUAUAGUAAAGAUGUGACAUUCGAUCAUGUGCCAUGAUUCAUCAUAUGUGUGAGACUUGGUCCUAGCACACCUGGUGAUUAUGUUCGCGCCCGGGUCUUGGUGCCCCGAAACCCGGGUGUGACAGAAGUGGUAUCAGAGGAAUGUUGACUGUAGGACGUAACCUAGAUAGAACUGGACAACCAUUGUCUACUUACCUUUGCUACUCUGAUUCUUUUCUAAACUUAUCUUAAUCUUUUCUCAUCCAUUUCUGCUUUACUCUGAUUAUUCUUACCUUUUUCUUAUAAAGACAAAUGUGGAUUUCACACUCUGAAAUCCUGUACCUAAAGUGACUUUUAGGAAUAGGAGACUUAAUCUUAGGAACAAAAAAACAAAACUAUUUUUUUAUCUAUACGCUUGAAUGUUUGUUCUUAUGAUAUUUGUCUGAUUUGGAUCUUUGAUUGAGUGUGAUGGGUUGUGGAGUAAUGUCCACAAUUACAUCUGCAUAUACAUAUAGGGAAAAAUGCUUAUAAAAAUAACUAGAUAAACUAGAUUAUCCCUCAUUAAAGGAUCUAGCCAAACAAUAUCCAUCUCAUCUUAAAAGAUUCUAUCCUACACUCGUAGAUCCAUCUUAUCUUAAGAAGAUACUCAUCUUAUCUUGAAAAGAUUUUAUGUCAUGCUAAUAGAUCUAACUGAUCUCAAAUGAUUCUAUCUUAUCUUUAUGGAUCCAUCUUAUCCUAACAAGCAUACUUAUCCACCCUAGUUUAACAACCAUGAUCUAAUGCAAAUUAAUUAGAUCUUAUCUAGUCAAACUAGUCAUACCAAUCUAAUCUAGAUCCCAUCUAAUCUAAUAUGAUCUAAUCUAAUGUGGUCUAUUUAAACAGAUUAGUGAUACUGGUAGAAGAGAUUAAACCCUACUAGCCAGGUAUUAACUUAACUUCGCACAUUAGACCAACUCAACCAUGGGCAUAAGAUCUAACCUAGCCAAUAGAGUCUUGAUGGAUUGCAUAAUCUAUCUAUCUCCACCUAACCUCAAACAAACUUUUGACCUACAUCAAUCUCACCCAUAUCUAUCUUAACCAUACCCUGGUAACUCCGAUGAUAAACGCUGACCCCAACUCAAUGAGACCAAGACCAGAAAAGAACAAGAUCAACCUCGUCAAGGAAGGAGAGAAGUCAAACUCGAUCUUCAGAUGCAUUACCACCCAACAAGGAGUCCUUUCUCACCAUAAACUGUCUUACCCCUAGCUAUUGUUUCCCUAACCUAUCCAUCUCUUAUAUCCUACAUAAUAGGUGGCUAGAAACCCAUGCUUUCCUAAAUACCUAUUUAUUUGUAUAAAAAAAACUUUUCAAUAUUGAACUAAAAGACAAUUACAAGCAAAACUUUCUACACCUCUUUCUUACAAAUCUCGAGGACGAGAUUUUUGUUAAGGGGGGUAGGAUUUGUAAAGCCCUAAAAUUGCGUAGGAUAAAAAAUGAUAAAAUAAUACAUACAUAUAUAAAAUUGUUUUGGGAACACAGAACCUUGGGAGACUAUCAAUUUAUUUAUCAAUAGGUUAUACCCUUCAUGAACAAUAUAAAUAGAAACCAUCUUUUAAUCAAGCUAAAAGUAAUUAAUGAUAAAGUUUGGACAUUACUUCCUCUAAAAUAAGUAGUAAAUAUGCACUUUUGAAUCGACCUUUAAUUUUACAACACCUUCAAAUAAUAUUUUUCUAAAAGAAAGAUAGCGUGUGUACUUCAUAUUUGAAACAAUUGUCUAAUUAAUAAAUAAAACAAUAAAUGUAAAUAUAUAUCUACAUAUAUUUGCAUUCAUGCGGGAGUUUGAUUGUGCAUUUUUAAGUAUGUGUCAAAUCCAAAACUAAUUUUGAAUUCUAUUCGAAUUUGGAAUUGUAAGUUAAGAAAAUGAUAAAAAUAUAGAUGAAGAGAGAACAAACCGGUUUGACCCAAUCUCACUCACGUGGCCUACAUUCUCUUCUCUCUCCCCAUAACCCGUCUUGUUUCUUUCCAUUUAUAAUUCUUGUACAAACUACUGGUAACAGCCGGGGGACGUAUGUUCCUUCCAUGUCAGACACCGACACGUGGGGCACCCUGCAUACGAGCACGAACGCUGAACCAUCCCAGAAAAAUCGUCGGUGCCUGUAACAACCGCGUAACAACCGGGCAUGAGCCGACAGAUGGCGUUACAGGUUUAUAAAACCCGAUUCCCAUGUGCCUUCCGCCAUAACCAGGCUUGGGAGCUAGCGCAACCUUGCAUGGAUGAUUACGCUGAAGCACAGCGACGAGUAGGAGAGAGAGAAUAGAGCCGCUGCGACCACGCCUCGCGUUCACCAUCUCCCAGCCUCUCGAUCGCUGGGGAAUUGGGCGAGAUCACCAAGUCGUGCAGAUCGUGCGUGUGGUCAGCAGAGCAAGGAAGUUGGCGGGGGAGACGAAUUGCUUGCCGGUGCUUGGCCGAAUCCUCACCGGGAAUCCUCGGGCGGCACUGCAGCGUCGACCGGCCGCAUCGACGUCUUUUCGAGUGGUGAGACCCUACUAAAUUACUCGCCGUAGCAUCCGCAUAGAUGAUCCCCAUUCAAUUUCCGAAUUUAGACCUAGAAAUCGGCAGGGUUGGUUCGCCACCAAUGGCGACGUCGUGCCUUAGCGUUCUGUCGCCGGUCGGGCACCGUGGUGAGAGAGAGAGGAUUGGGGGGGAGAAAAAUGAAGGGCUUGGGCUGUUGGAUCAUACACGGACGGCGCCGAUCUAACCACGCAUACCCCUUCGCUCAAUAGGAUUUGGGCCGUAGAUCUGAGAUCAAGCGAUCAGGAUUUGAUCAUAGUCAUUCUUAAUCUGGACUGACGAUCUUUAAUCCGGUGGUCCUCAUGGCUUACCGGUUCAUUUUUAAUGAAGUCUAAUCCUGGCCGUGGAAUUUAGAUCUGACGGCUGAAGUCAGCCCGUACCCCUUCGGCCGGGGAUAAUUGCAUGUGAGCCCUCAUAAAACUAUCAAAUAAACCCGUCGUCCACUCACGUGGAAAACUAAUUAAAUCUAGGUCCUGAGUUUCACAGUUUAGACCCUGUGUUUUCUAGAAAUUGUGUUCGCAGGCCAGAAUUAAUAGGGAUAUUCAUAAUUAAAUCAGAAAAUGAUUUUUUUUAUAAAAAUAAAUCUAGGAACUUGUUUAAUUCAUAGUUAAUUCAUUUUAGCUCCAGAUUGAGUUAUUCCAGUUGCAAUAAUUUUGUUUUAAUAUUAUCUUUCAUCUAGUGCUUCUGUUUAGCCAUAAAACUUGAAUUAAAAAUGUUCAUUUGAAUUAAUCUAUUCUAGGUGCUUAACAACUCCAGAAAUUCAUAACUUGUUAACCGUAACUCCGAAUUUAGUAAUUCUUGUUCUUAUGAUCUCGUUACGCAGCUUAGAAUAUUAUUAUGUAGUUUGAUCUUAUAUUUGGUGUGAUGUUAAUUUUGCAUAUACAUGUUUGUCUGUAUUGCUACGUUUAGCAAUGAGGACACAAGUUACCUGAAGAUCAUCCUGGUACCUGGAAUCUCAUGUCCCAGGCAAGUUGUGCCCUUGAUCACUUCUUUUUACCCAGUCAUGUUCUGAUUAAUCAUAAUGAUCUGCAUAGGUUAAUUUUGAUGGGACCCAAUAGGUUACCCUAGUUUGAUUAUCUUUAUACCUUGAUUACCACUGGACUUUUUGGGUAGUACCUGCUAUUGCUUUAUGUGGUUUUGGGUAUGAAGAUUACAUUAUUCAUGAUUACACUUUUGUUAUUAGUUGUUAUUUACUAUUCAUGAUAAGAUCAUUAUGUUAAUUGGAACAUGGAGAACCACCCGGGAAAACAGUGCUACCACAAGGGUUUAUGGACGCCCUUGGCUGAUUAACUAGGAAAGCUAGUGGAGGUCUACCUUACCCGAAAGGGGCAAGGGCAGUAGGGGAGUGGUCAGUGUAGGAAGGUCCUUAGUUGAUUUUGCUGCGAUGGCGGUCAGGCAAGAACCCUGCAUUGGAGCUUCCUAUAAACUGUAGCGGGAUUUCUGAAGCUAGUGGACCUUUGUAAAGGCCUCGUAGUGUUACCCUGCCUCGCCUCCUCGGUAGAGGUGUAUGGGAUUGGCCGUCUCUUGGCAGAUGGGUAACAUGACUUGUGGGUAAAGAUGCGCAACCUCUGCAGAGUGUAAAACUGGUAUACUAGCCGUGCUCACGGUCAUGAGCGGCUCGGACACUCACAUGAUUAAAUUAUGGAACUUAAACUCAAUUUGUCAUAUGCAUUGCAUCGCAGGUGAGGUUGUUACUUUUAUUCUACUAAAUUGGGCUGGUAUUUACUUAUACUUAGUAAUUGCUAAUAAAAUUUUGACCAACUUUAAAAGCAAUGCUUAGCUCUAACCAUCCUCUUUGGUAAGCCUUACACUUCACGUGAGCUCCCACCUUUGGCGAGUUCAUGCACAUUAUUCCCCACAACUUGUUGAGCGAUGAACGUAUGUGAGCUCACUCUUGCUGUCUCACACCCCCCCCACAGGUCAAGAACAGGUACCACAGGAUGAGGCGCUUGGAGGAUGCUGUGACAAGUUCGUGAGAGGUCUAGGUCGUCGUCUCCCAGUCAACUUUGGGUUGCUGGACCGUUGUCUCCAUAUAAUGUAUUUAUUUAUUUAUUUUGUACAAAACUCCGAUUAUAUAGUAAAGAUGUGACAUUCGAUCAUGUGCCAUGAUUCAUCAUAUGUGUGAGACUUGGUCCCAGCACACCUGGUGAUUAUGUUCGCGCACGAGUCUUGGUGCCCCGAAACCCGGGUGUAACAAUUACAUAGACGUGGUUGAAAUGUUUCGGUGGUAGGUCGUAGUAUGGUUGUGUUCAUGAUUUUGAGUUAGAGAUUGGUGGUUGACGAUUCGUAUAAAUUGGUUGAUGAUGUGCAUGUGUGAUUAUAUGUGUAAAAAAAUUGUAUUGGUAUGGAUGGAAGUUUGUAGUGAAAGAAAAUGAGUAAGGAACUGGGCUCGGAUGUUUUUAAGUUUUGGUAAGAAUGUAUUUGAUGUGUGGUUUGCUGUGA